GACAGAGGUGCCGAGCGUUAGGCGGAAUCACUGGGCUUAAAGCGUGUGUAGGCGGGUGCCUAAGUAACUUGUGAAAUCCCACGGCUCAACCGUGGAACUGCUGGGUAUACUGGGUGCCUUGAGCCACUUAGGGGCUACCGGAACAAAUGGUGGAGCGGUGAAAUGCGUAGAUAUCAUUUGGAACGCCAAUGGUGAAAACAGGUAGCUGGGAGUGUGCUGACGCUGAGACACGAAAGCCAGGGGAGCGAACGGG
rnacentral:rRNA from 1 species